CAGGCCGACGGGACAAAGACGGUGGUGCGGAGCAACGAACUCGUCGCACCACCACCGGGGAGGCUACAUCAGAAAAUCUGGGUUUGGAUUUUUAGAGUUUGAGGGAGGCAGGUUUGCUUCAAUUUGAAUUUAUGAAUGAAUGAGAAAUUUCCAAUUUGGUUUGAUUUGUUUUUAAUCCAUCCUUUAAUCCGUUUCAAUGCAUUUAAAACUUUCCUCUCUUAUGUGAUUUGCUCUGAGCUGUGCCCUGCCCUGCUUGAAUGCUCUUGAUGAGCGAAAUUGAAAACUUCAUUUCCGGGAUUGAUUCACGAGUACUGCCUCCCUUCCCCUUUUG
rnacentral:lncRNA from 1 species